rnacentral:misc_RNA from 1 species
UACGAAGGGGGCGAGCGUUGUUCGGAAUCACUGGGCUUAAAGCGUGCGUAGGCGGAUAGGAAAGUCAGAAGUGAAAGCCCUGGGCUCAACCCGGGAACUGCUUUUGAAACUCCAUGUCUAGAAUCCGGUAGAGGUCAGGAGAAUUCCUAGUGUAGAGGUGAAAUUCGCAGAUAUUAGGAGGAAUACCAGUGGCGUAGGCGCCUGACUGGGCCGGUAUUGACGCUGAGGUACGAAGGCGUGGGGAGCAAACAGG